GGGGAAUAUUGCACAAUGGGCGCAAGCCUGAUGCAGCCAUGCCGCGUGUAUGAAGAAGGCCUUCGGGUUGUAAAGUACUUUCAGCGAGGAGGAAGGCAUUAAGGUUAAUAACCUUAGUGAUUGACGUUACUCGCAGAAGAAGCACCGGCUAACUCCGUGCCAGCAGCCGCGGUAAUACGGAGGGUGCAAGCGUUAAUCGGAAUUACUGGGCGUAAAGCGUGCGUAGGUGGUUGUUUAAGUCUGUCGUGAAAGCCCUGGGCUCAACCUGGGAAUUGCGAUGGAAACUGGGCGACUAGAGUGUGGCAGAGGGUAGUGGAAUUCCUGGUGUAGCAGUGAAAUGCGUAGAGAUCAGGAGGAACAUCCGUGGCGAAGGCGACUGCCUGGGCCAACACUGACACUGAGGCACGAAAGCGUGGGGAGCAAACA
rnacentral:rRNA from 1 species